GACGAACCGUGCAAACGUUGUUCGGAAUCACUGGGCUUAAAGGGCGCGUAGGCGGCUUGCCAAGUCAGGGGUGAAAUCUUUCGGCUUAACCGGAAAAGUGCCUCUGAUACUGGCAGACUAGAGGGAGGUAGGGGCAUGUGGAACUUCCGGUGGAGCGGUGAAAUGCGUUGAUAUCGGAAGGAACGCCGGUGGCGAAAGCGACGUGCUGGACCUCUUCUGACGCUGAGGCGCGAAAGCUAGGGGAGCGAACGGG
rnacentral:rRNA from 1 species